GAGUGGAAUGGAGUUGGUGUGUGUGGCUAGCUACCUGCUGGUAGAGAUGUUAGGAGGAAUGUUGUUUGGCUCGAAGCUUUAGAACCUUUUGUGUUCAAUGCAUAUCGGACCAGGCUUCAUUCCUCUCAA
rnacentral:pre_miRNA from 1 species